GACGAACGCUGGCGGCGUGCUUAACACAUGCAAGUCGAACGGAAAGGCCCUGCUUUUGUGGGGUGCUCGAGUGGCGAACGGGUGAGUAACACGUGAGUAACCUGCCCUGGACUUUGGGAUAACUUCAGGAAACUGGGGCUAAUACCGGAUAGGAGCUCCUGCUGCAUGGUGGGGGUUGGAAAGUUUCGGCGGUUGGGGAUGGACUCGCGGCUUAUCAGCUUGUUGGUGGGGUAGUGGCUUACCAAGGCUUUGACGGGUAGCCGGCCUGAGAGGGUGACCGGCCACAUUGGGACUGGGAUACGGCCCAGACUCCUACGGGAGGCAAGAGUGGGGAAUAGUGCACAAUGGGCGGAAGCCUGAUGCAGCAACGCCGCGUGCGGGAUGACGGCCUUCGGGUUGUAAACCGCUUUCGCCUGUGACGAAGCGUGAGUGACGGUAAUGGGUAAAGAAGCACCGGCUAACUACGU
rnacentral:rRNA from 1 species